CCUUCUUCUCGCAUGGGUCUGGCUUCUCCGUGGGAACUCCAGGUGGAGACAUCGCCCACGGUCACAGAGGCCGCAGUCUAACCAGGCAGAGCCCAGACUUCCCUCUCCCCGGAGACUUCCUCCCGCUCGUCCGGGACCAGAUCCCGAGGCUUUUCCAGCCAGCCGAGACUCACCGUCCCUGCAGCGUGUCCUGGCUUUUCCCCAGAGCCUCUUCCUGGUGGGACGCGUCUGAAACAGAUGUCACCUCAGUGGGCUGCUCUCACUGUGGAGACGCAGCGGCUCGACUCGGAGCUCCUCACCCUGUCUCAAACAGAAGCCCCCUGCCAGACUGGAGAAAGAGCUCAUUUUGCCCACUUGCCCACGAGAUUUCCUCCUUUUUCAGCCAUGACCCAGAUCUCAUUACUGUAUGAGAGUAAAAAUGUAUCAACCAGUAAAUCUAAUGAUCAAAUUAUCAUAAAAACAUGUGUACAUACAUAUGAAUAUAUUCCUCCAGCAAGUAGUGCUUUAUUGCUGUUGGAUGCAGUGAUGCAACAUGAGUCCACAUUUUUUAGAUGGCGUUGUUUCAUGCUCUUGAGGAAUAUUUUCACAGAUUUUAUUAAUAGUUUAUGGGAAGGCCUUUAGCUUUUUGCAUGACAUGCUGAAAUGAAAAGAGACCAUCAACAACCCUCAUAAUUCCUCUCCGACAUUAAUUGCAUACUAAAUGUAGCCCAGUCCUAGAUCUGCAAAUCACUGUCUGCAUCUGAGCGGAUGAUGAAAUAGCCAUUCAAUCUGAAAAUGAGGCCUAGCUAAUUAUGCAUGUGUUUGAGAAAUUAAAAGUACCAAAGGAUCGACGGCCGGCACGGCAUCGAUUCUGAUUGAGUGUUUCUUUUUUUUUUUCUUUUCCUCUCAGGCAAAAAGCAGAAGUCACGCUGAAAGGAGUUUUUACAGACGCGGAUGAAAGGAUGGGGGGAAAAAUAAAAAAAAAGAAUGUGAGGUUGCAUCGUAAACAACACUUACUCAAGGCGCCGCACAUGGCUCAUGUGAGAAACGCUGUGGGGAGGAAAAAAAAAGGCUCAUCAUCAUCACAGAUGGCCACUCAAUCCAAGGCAAAUGUCAAAAGGACUCGCAAGAGCACAUCACUGAGACGCCACGGAUUCACUGACGCUUGGAUGUGCACUAGGAAGACGGCAACGGCUCUGUUUCAAGCUAGAGAGAGAUAUUACCCUGUGUUCUCCACCUGGGGGGAUUCUCAGGAGCAGCCCUCUCAUUUUCAAGAGGGCACCUGAGGGGGAGAGCUGAACGUCCACGCCGCAUUCACAUCCAACUAGAGGCAACAACUUGGAAACCAUGACGGCUUUCAAAGGAAGUAGAGGAGGUGGGAGAGUGAAAGCGGAAGGAAGACAGCAUUGCUGUAAAUAAUUAAUUCGGCAGAGUUUGGGUCCUGUGAGGCCAGAAGAAAAUAUAUUGAUGUUUAAAAAAUGCUAAUUAAAGAAAGGAACACACUU